rnacentral:rRNA from 1 species
UGGGUGGUAAUGCCGGAUGCUCCAGAUGACCGCAUGGGAUUCUGGGAAAGCUUUUGCGGCAUGGGAUGGGGUCGCGUCCUAUCAGCUUGUUGGUGGGGUGAUGGCCCACCAAGGCUUCGACGGGUAGCCGGCCUGAGAGGGCGACCGGCCACAUUGGGACUGAGAUACGGCCCAGACUCCUACGGGAGGCAGCAGUGGGGAAUAUUGCGCAAUGGGCGAAAGCCUGACGCAGCGACGCCGCGUGCGGGAUGGAGGCCUUCGGGUUGUAAACCGCUUUUAUCGGGGAGCAAGCGAGAGUGAGUGUACCCGUUGAAUAAGCACCGGCUAACUACGUGCCAGCAGCCGCGGUAAUACGUAGGGUGCAAGCGUUAUCCGGAUUUAUUGGGCGUAAAGGGCUCGUAGGCGGUUCGUCGCGUCUGGUGUGAAAGUCCAUCGCUUAACGGUGGAUCUGCGCCGGGUACGGGCGGGCUGGAGUGCGGCAGGGGAGACUGGAAUUCCCGGUGUAACGGU